rnacentral:tRNA from 1 species
AGGGGAUUAGCUCAGCUGGCUGAGGCCUGCCUUGCACGCAGGAGGUCAACGGUUCGACUCCGUUAUUCUCCACCA